rnacentral:rRNA from 1 species
UACGGGGGAUGCAAGCGUUAUCCGGAUUUAUUGGGUUUAAAGGGUGCGUAGGCUGUGAGGUAAGUCAGCGGUGAAAUGCCCCCGCUCAACGGGGUGAAGUGCCAUUGAUACUGCCUUGCUGGAAUGCGGAUGCCGUGGGAGGAAUGUGUGGUGUAGCGGUGAAAUGCAUAGAUAUCACACAGAACACCGAUUGCGAAGGCAUCUCACGAAUCCGCGAUUGACGCUGAUGCACGACAGCGUGGGUAUCAAACAGG